rnacentral:misc_RNA from 1 species
GAUGAAGAACGAAGCGAAAUGCGAUAAGUAAUGUGAAUUGCAGAAUUCAGUGAAUCAUCGAAUCUUUGAACGCACAUUGCGCCCGCCGGUAUUCCGGCGGGCAUGCCUGUUCGAGCGUCAUUUCAACCAUCAAGCCCUGGGCUUGUGUUGGGGACCUGCGGCUGCCGCAGGCCCUGAAAUGCAGUGGCGGGCUCGCAAGACACACCGAGCGUAGUAGCUUACAACCUCGCUUUGGGAGUGCUGCGGGUGCUGGCCGUAAAGCGACCUUUGCGUCUUUAGCACUAGGUUGACCUCGGAUCAGGUAGGAGGACCCGCUGAACUUAAGCAUAUCAAUAAGCGGAGGA